CGAGCGAGCUUGCCUAGAUGAUUUUAGUGCUUGCACUAAAUGAAACUAGAUACAAGCGAGCGGCGGACGGGUGAGUAACACGUGGGUAACCUGCCCAAGAGACUGGGAUAACACCUGGAAACAGAUGCUAAUACCGGAUAACAACACUAGACGCAUGUCUAGAGUUUGAAAGAUGGUUCUGCUAUCACUCUUGGAUGGACCUGCGGUGCAUUAGCUAGUUGGUAAGGUAACGGCUUACCAAGGCAAUGAUGCAUAGCCGAGUUGAGAGACUGAUCGGCCACAUUGGGACUGAGACACGGCCCAAACUCCUACGGGAGGCAGCAGUAGGGAAUCUUCCACAAUGGACGAAAGUCUGAUGGAGCAACGCCGCGUGAGUGAAGAAGGGUUUCGGCUCGUAAAGCUCUGUUGGUAGUGAAGAAAGAUAGAGGUAGUAACUGGCCUUUAUUUGACGGUAAUUACUUAGAAAGUCACGGCUAACUACGUGCCAGCAGCCGCGGUAAUACGUAGGUGGCAAGCGUUGUCCGGAUUUAUUGGGCGUAAAGCGAGUGCAGGCGGUUCAAUAAGUCUGAUGUGAAAGCCUUCGGCUCAACCGGAGAAUUGCAUCAGAAACUGUUGAACUUGAGUGCAGAAGAGGAGAGUGGAACUCCAUGUGUAGCGGUGGAAUGCGUAGAUAUAUGGAAGAACACCAGUGGCGAAGGCGGCUCUCUGGUCUGCAACUGACGCUGAGGCUCGAAAGCAUGGGUAGCGAACAGGAUUAGAUACCCUGGUAGUCCAUGCCGUAAACGAUGAAUGCUAAUUGUUGGGAGGUUUCC
rnacentral:rRNA from 1 species